GAUGAACGCUGGCGGCGUGCCUAAUACAUGCAAGUAGAACGCUGAAGGAAGGAGCUUGCUCUUUCCGGAUGAGUUGCGAACGGGUGAGUAACGCGUAGGUAACCUGCCUGGUAGCGGGGGAUAACUAUUGGAAACGAUAGCUAAUACCGCAUAACAGUAGAUGUUGCAUGAUAUCUACUUAAAAGGUGCAAUUGCACCACUACCAGAUGGACCUGGGUUGUAUUAGCUAGUUGGUGAGGUAACGGCUCACCAAGGCGACGAUACAUAGCCGAGCUGAGAGGGUGAUCGGCCACACUGGGACUGGGACCAGGCUCAGGCUCCUAAGGGGAGGAACAAUAGGGGAUCUUCGGCAAAGGGCGGAAGGCUGGCCGAGCAACGGCGCGGGGGUGGAGGAGGUUCUCGGGUCGUAAAGCUCUGUUGUAAGGGGAGAACGAGUGUGAGAGUGGAAAGUUCACGCUGUGACGGUAUCUAAACAGAAAGCGACGGCUAACUACGUG
rnacentral:rRNA from 1 species